GACGAACGCUGGCGGCAGGCUUAACACAUGCAAGUCGAACGCAUCCUUCGGGAUGAGUGGCAGACGGGUGAGUAACACGUGGGAACGUACCCUUCGGUUCGGAAUAACUCUGGGAAACUAGAGCUAAUACCGGAUACGCCCUUUUGGGGAAAGGUUUACUGCCGAAGGAUCGGCCCGCGUCUGAUUAGCUAGUUGGUGGGGUAACGGCCUACCAAGGCGACGAUCAGUAGCUGGUCUGAGAGGAUGAUCAGCCACACUGGGACUGAGACACGGCCCAGACUCCUACGGGAGGCAGCAGUGGGGAAUAUUGGACAAUGGGCGCAAGCCUGAUCCAGCCAUGCCGCGUGAGUGAUGAAGGCCUUAGGGUUGUAAAGCUCUUUUGUCCGGGACGAUAAUGACGGUACCGGAAGAAUAAGCCCCGGCUAACUUCGUGCCAGCCGCCGCCGUAACAC
rnacentral:rRNA from 1 species